rnacentral:rRNA from 1 species
UGCAUGGCUGUCGUCAGCUCGUGUCGUGAGAUGUUCGGUUAAGUCCGCUAACGAGCGCAACCUCGCUGUGUGUUACAAGUGUCACACGGAACUGCCGGGUCCAUAAAACCGGAGGAAGGUGGGGAUGACGUCAAGUCAGCAUGGCCUUUAUAUCCUGGGCUACACACACGCUACAAUGGGAAGGGACAAUAGGUUGCGAAGCCGCGAGGCGGAGCCAAUCCAGCAAAACUUCCCUCAGUUCAGAUUGCAGGCUGCAACCCGCCUGCAUGAAGUUGGAGUUGCUAGUAAACGCAGGUCAGCCAUACUGCGUUGAAUACGUUCCCGGGGCUU